rnacentral:rRNA from 1 species
GAUGAACGCUGGCGGCGUGCCUAAUACAUGCAAGUCGAGCGGUAAGGCCUCUUCGGAGGUACACGAGCGGCGGACGGCUGAGUAACGCGUAGGAACGUACCCCAAAGUGAGGGAUAAGCACCAGAAAUGGUGUCUAAUACCGCAUGUGGCCCCCGGGAUAAAGCUUCGGCGCUUUGGGAACGGCCUGCGUAAGAUUAGCUAGUUGGUGAGGUAAUGGCUCACCAAGGCGACGAUCUUUAGCUGGUCUGAGAGGAUGAUCAGCCAGACUGGGACUGAGACACGGCCCAGACUCCUACGGGAGGCAGCAGUAGGGAAUUUUCCACAAUGGGCGAAAGCCUGAUGGAGCAACGCCGCGCGCAGGAUGAAUGCCUUCGGGUUGUAAACUGCUUUUAUAUGCGACGAAUAUGACGGUAGCAUGUGAAUAAGGAUCGGCUAACUCCGUGCCAGCCGCCGCGGUAA